AUAUCCUUGUCUCGGAAAAAAACUUGCCUUUCAUAUUCGGCAAGGACAAGGCUCCGCCCGCCGCCACCGCCUCCGCCCCGGCUAUAAAGCUCCGCCCUUUGGCCGGCCCUCUCCGCCUCUCUCCGUCCGGGCCGCGCCUCUCGCCUCCUUCAUUCGUCCUUGGCCCGUUCGGGCCGCGUGGUGGUCUCCGUGCCCGCUCGCGCCCUGCUCCCUCUCCUCUCCGCAUGCGGGGGCGAGCCGCUCCCCGAGGACGCGGGCGGGCGCCCGGGCCUCGCCCAGCGGGGCUCGGCCAAGUGGCGGGCGACCGGCGGCGGGGGCACCGGCGUCGUGCGCCAGCUGCGCGUGCUCGUCCUCGACUCGUGCCUCUCCUCCUCUUGCGUCCGGUGAGGCGACUCGUCCUCGGUUCUUGCCUCUCCUUGUCUCGCGUCUGGCGAGGCAAUUCGUCCUCGAUUCCUGCCUCUCAUGGUCUCGCUUCUGAUCCUAUGUUGCUCGUCCUCGCUCGAUUCGUCCGUUUAGAGUUGAAGAAUCGCGUCUGAUUUGUUUCAUUCAGUUUUGCUCGUCCUCGGUUCGUCUGUUUUCAAGAAGCGCGUCUGAUUUGAUUGGUUAUGCUCAUCCACGAUUCGACCGUUUAGGUAGAAACCGCGUCUGGUUUGAUUUGCUCGUCCUCGCCGUCGUCCUUAGUUCAGAGUCGCGUGUGAUUUGAUUCUUGCUCGUCCUCGCCGUUGCCCUGAUGCUCUCGCGUGUUCUUGGGGCCAUCUCGUCGGGGGUCUGCGACUCUGGGAGGAAGCGAGCGGUCGGUCAGUUUGGGUCACCGUCUGGUUUGCGAACUAACAAGUCCGUUUGAGAAACUUCUGUUCCUGCGUUUCGUGUUCGCGGUAGAGCUAUGGUUCCUGCGUUUCUUGUUUGAGAAACUUGUGCGUGCGCUUCUGUUAUCUGACGAUCCUGCGUUUCGUGUUCGCGUCGGGGCGACGGUUGCAGGAACGAUCGGUUCUGGUUUCGAAAUUGGAGCAGUGUCAAAUCGGUUCCUCUGUUCCAUCACCUGCGUUGUUCGUUGGUCUCAAACUCAUGCGCCCUUGUGAUACUCUGGUUGCCCUCUGUCGAUUCUUGUUCUACCGGCAGGCGUGUGUGCUCCCAUCCUAGAUGCAGAGAAUCCUGUUCUUGUCUGUUACGGUUGUUCUGACGGUGUUCUUUUCAACUGGUUUCUUGUUAUCAUGCUUUGCUUAUGUUCCCAUAUGGCACGAUUGAUUCAUUGUUGUUUGUUGUUUGAUUGAUUGCCCUGAGAUGGAUUGCUGUUUGUUGUUUGACUGAUUGCCUUGAGAUGGAUUGUUGUUUGUUGCUUGAUUGAUUGCUUUGAGAUGGAUUGUUGAUUGUUGUUUGUUGCCUUGAGAUGGUAGAUGUUUAUAUGGCAUGAUUGAUUCCUGUUUGUUCAUGGUUAUUACAAUUGAUUGAUUGAUGGCUGUUUGUCGAUUGGUAUCUAACUUUGGUAUUGCCAGUUCCUGAUCAUAUGUAACAGACCUAGCACUAUUCUUUUUUCUGAACUUUUUUGUGAUUAUGUCUUAUGUGGAUAUCAUAUUCUUUUUUUGGUAUUACUGUUGUCUAGUCCUUGGAAUAAUGCUUUCUAAGUAUUUAAGGUACACACAUGUUGAUCUGGACAUAUCACAUUUGCUCUUUAUUGUGUUGCUAAGGACACUGAUGGGUUGAGUUGGCAUAUAGCGCAGGUAUAUUUACAUUCUUUACAUUUUGCGAUGCUGAUGCCUGUAGUCCCAAAGCAUUUAUUUACCUGAUAUUUGCAUGGAUGUUUUCAUGAUGGCUAAUUUGAUUCAUUAUCGUUGUUCUGAUGGUGUGCUUCUGGUGGUUUAACUGAAGCCGUGGAUCGCUCAUCAACCUGCUGAGCUCUUUCUGGAUAGGACAGAGGUACAAUAUUUACAUCCAUGGCAGAAGGUUCUUAACCCUGAACUCAUCAAAGGUCCUUGGACUCAAGAGGAAGAUGACAAAAUUAUUGAUCUUGUAAGCAAGUAUGGACCAACAAAAUGGUCUCAUUGCAAGGACCUGCAGAAGGACCCUCCCACCUCAGCGCAGGUCCUGUAAGUGAGGACAUGUUCCACUGGCAGGCCACUAUCAUGGGACCCUCGGACAGCCCGUUUACUGGUGGUCUAUUUUUGGUGAACAUCCAUUUCCCACUGGAUCAUCCCUUCAAUCCCCCGAAGGUCUCUUUCCGCAUCAAGGUGUUCCACCCAAACAUCAACAGCAACGGCAGCAUUUGCCUUGACAUUCUCAAGGAACAGUGGAGCCCGACUUUGACCAUAUCAAAGGUCCUCCUGUCAAUCUGUUCAUUGCUGACGGACCCCAACCCCAAUGAUCCUCUGGUGCCUGAGAUUGCUCACAUGUACAAGACUGAUUGGGCCAAGUAUGAGUCCACGGCAUGCUCCUGGACACAGAGUACGCCAUGGGUGGAUGUAUAGGCAAGCAAUGUCGAGAGAGUUCUUCUCACCUAUAGCUAAAGUCAAAGACGACAAACCAGGUGACUUAUUGGAGAGUUGCAGGACUAUAAAUCAUCAGUCAUCUGAAUCUUCAUUUGUAAAUAUGACUGCUGGUGCUGCCGAUGAUGUAAGAAUGGCUUACCUCUCCUCCUCUCACGUCUGGUGAGGCAAUUCGUCCUCGGUUCGUGCCUCUCCUCCUCUCGCGUCUGGUGAGGCAUUCGUCCCUGAUUCCCUCUCCUCUGACUUUAUGUUGCUCGUCCCUGCUCGAUUCAUCGUUUAGAUUAGAAAAAUCGCGUCUGAUUUGUCAUUUUGCUCGUUCUCGAUUCGUCUGUUUUGAAGCGCGUCUGAUUUGACUGAUUUUGCUCGUCCUCGAUUCGUCCGUGUAGAUAGAAAAUCGCGUCUGGUUUGAUUUACUCGUCCUCCUCGUCACUUUAGAGUCGCUUGUGAUAUGAUUUUGCUUGUCCUCGCUGUCGCCCUGAUGCUCUCGCGUGUUCUUGGGGCCGUUUCUUCGGGGGUCUCCGUCCCUGCGACUCUGGGAGGAAGCGGCAAGCGGUCGGUCGAUCUGGUUUGCGAGCUAAAGUCUGUUUGAGAAACUUCUGUUCCUGCGUUUCGUGUUCACGGUGGAGCCAUGGUUCAUGUGUUUACUUGUGCGUGCGCUUCUGUUAUCUGACGAUCCUGCAUUUCGUGUUCGCGUCGGGGAGACGGUUGAAGGAACGAUCGGUUCUGGUUUUGAAAUUGGAGCGCUGUCAAGUCGGUUCCUCUGUUCCAUCACCUGCGUUGUUCGUCCGUUAUUUUCAGAUCUCAAACGCAUGAUCUUGAUACUCUGGUUGCCCUCUGCCGACUCUUGUUCUACCAGCAGGCGUGUGUGCUCCCAUUCUAGAUGCAGAGAAUCCUGUUCUUGUCUGUUACGGUUGUUCUGAUGCUGUUCUUUUCAAUUGUUUAUUGUUAUCAUGCUUUGCUUAUCUUUCCAUAUGGCACGAUUGAUUGAUUGUUGUUUGCUGUUUGUUUGAUUGAUUUCCUUGAGAUGGAUUGUUGUUUGUUGUUUGAUUGAUUGCCUUGAGAUGGAUUGUUGCUUGUUGUUUGAUUGAUUGCCUUGAGAUGGAUUUUUGCUUGUUGUUUGAUUGAUUGCCUUGAGAAGGUACAAACCAUGUAGGCUGAUUGUUUGCUGUUUGUUGCCUUGAGAUAUUACAUGUUUAUAUGGCACGAUUGAUUGCUGUUUGUUCAUGGUUAUUACAAUUGAUUGAUUGUUGUUUGUUGAUUGGUAUCUAACUUUGUUAUUGGUAGUUGCUGAUCAUAGGUAACAGACCUAGCGCUAUUCUUUUUUCUGAAUUUUUUUGUGAUUAUUAUGCCUUCACAUUGUACUACUCCCAGAUCCAUAUCGACAUGCCCACGCUGUCUGAUGAGGAUAAAGAUGUAAGGAACUCCUCCCAAGGAUCUCUCUUGCUCCUUGUAUUAACUUGACGACUUGAUUUACAUGUUAAUUAUUAUUUUCGUGAAACUGGAGCUCCUUGCUGUAACCCAAAAAAACUAUAAUUACACCAAUUGGGAGCAGCUUGUGUAAUUAUAGUUUGUUUGGUGCAGUAAUGACUUUAUGAGCGUGCACCACUUUCAGGUUAUGAAAAAAAAGGGGGAAAACAAGAUUGACUUCCUCUCUCUUUCUUAUACAAGGCAUGCAGAAGAUGUGCGGCAAGCACAUGAGUUCUUCUCAAAGUUAGGUGAUCUUAGCCAAACUCUGAUUUUUGCCAAAAUUGAGAAUCUGGAGAAUGACGGACAACCUAAGGCCUACUCGUCCGGAGGCAACUGAUGUGGCAAACGCAGUGCUGGACGGUAGUGAUGCCAUUCUCCUUGGUGCUGAGACUCUCCGUGGGUUGUAUCCAGUUGAGACUAUUUCAACGCUAGGC